GACGAACGCUGGCGGCGUGCUUAACACAUGCAAGUCGAACGGUAAGGCCCUUCGGGGUACACGAGUGGCGAACGGGUGAGUAACACGUGGGUGAUCUGCCCUGCACUUCGGGAUAAGCCUGGGAAACUGGGUCUAAUACCGGAUAGGACUCCUGGCUUCAUGGUUGGGGGUGGAAAGCUUUUGCGGUGUGGGAUGGGCCCGCGGCCUAUCAGCUUGUUGGUGGGGUAAUGGCCUACCAAGGCGACGACGGGUAGCCGGCCUGAGAGGGUGACCGGUCACACUGGGACUGAGAUACGGCCCAGACUCCUACGGGAGGCAGCAGUGGGGAAUAUUGCACAAUGGGCGCAAGCCUGAUGCAGCAACGCCGCGUGAGGGAUGACGGCCUUCGGGUUGUAAACCUCUUUUAGCAGGGAAGAAGCGAAAGUGACGGUACCUGCAGAAAAAGCACCGGCUAACUACGUGCCAGCCGCCGCCGUAA
rnacentral:rRNA from 1 species